rnacentral:rRNA from 1 species
UGGGGAAUUUUCCGCAAUGGGCGCAAGCCUGACGGAGCAAGACCGCGUGAGGGAGGAAGGCCCUUGGGUUGUAAACCUCUUUUCUCAGGGAAGAAGAAAGUGACGGUACCUGAGGAAUCAGCCUCGGCUAACUCCGUGCCAGCAGCCGCGGUAAGACGGAGGGGGCAAGCGUUGUCCGGACUCACUGGGCGUAAAGGGCGCGCAGGCGGGACGGCGCGUCGGCGCUGAAAGCGCCCGGCUUAACCGGGCGCGGCGCGGCGAUACGACCGACCUGGUGGCAGGCAGAGGGUGGCGGAAUUCCGGGUGUAGUGGUGAAAUGCGUAGAGAUCCGGAGGAACGCCUGUGGCGCAAGCGGCCGCCUGGGCCUGACCUGACGCUGAGGCGCGAAAGCGUGGGGAGCGAACCGGAUUAGAUACCCGUGUAGUCC